GGGAAUGUGGCUUAGUGGUAGAGUGCUUGCCUAGCAUGCAUGACGACCUGGGUUCAAUUCCUCAGUACCA
rnacentral:tRNA from 1 species